rnacentral:tRNA from 1 species
AUCUUUCUAGUAUCACUUUAGUAUAUGUGACUUCCACUCACUUGGACUUGGUUAAAACCCAAGGAAAGAUA